rnacentral:ncRNA from 1 species
UUAUUUUAAGCGCCUGGACGUAUAUAUUCUAAUACGUUGACGAGGAAGAAACCUAUCGAAAGAUUCGGCGGGUGGUUUCUUGGCAAUGGUUACUGCCAUAAAUAUUAGCAAAACCUGAUAGUAAUAUCAGAAUACAAAUCUAAU